rnacentral:rRNA from 1 species
UACGAAGGGGGCUAGCGUUGCUCGGAAUCACUGGGCGUAAAGCGCACGUAGGCGGCUUGUUAAGUCAGGGGUGAAAUCCUGGGGCUCAACUCCAGAACUGCCUUUGAUACUGGCGAGCUUGAGUUCGGGAGAGGUGAGUGGAACUGCGAGUGUAGAGGUGAAAUUCGUAGAUAUUCGCAAGAACACCAGUGGCGAAGGCGGCUCACUGGCCCGAUACUGACGCUGAGGUGCGAAAGCGUGGGGAGCAAACAGG